CGUCGGCCAAAAACAGCGCCCCCCAUGGACGAAAAUUCCCAAAAUGUGGUAUACAUGACAUGGGAGGUAGUAAGAGGGUGGCCGUGAAGUUGGACCAAAUUUGAGGAAAGAUUGGAUUUUUUGGCCAAAAAUAGCGCCCCCAGUGGCGAAAUAUCACAGAAAUUGGGUAACAUGUCAGAAGCCCAAUGAGUGAUUAGCGUGUGAAGUAUGAGCAGUUUUGAGCAAUUAGAAGAUUUAUGAAUUUUUGAGCAUGUAAAAUUUUGAAGUGAAAAUUGAUUGACGUAUAACUUCUGAACGGUUUAUCCUACGUGAAACGUAUUUAGUAACUUUUGUCAGCCAUGUCUGUAGAUGUGUAUCAAUUUUGGUGACAUUCCUAUGAAUGGUCUAGGAGGAGUUGCGCCGUCUUCGUGGCCAUGCAUUUCGCACAAAAGUGAAAUUACCUCACUUCCUGUUGGGCGUGGCUAAUGCAUUGGCAUUACAUUUUUGUCCGGCUUACUGAGAUACAUAUGGGUACCAAAUGGCAUGCCAGUACUACAAACUAUAUGGCAACCAGGCACCUUAAUGCGGGAGGCCAAAAUCACAACGACUUAGGGGGCGCUAUAGAGGCCCUGAGCCCCGGCCAAGUUUGGGCUUUUGGUUCUGAGUAGCGGUGCCAAUUCUCGGAAGUGGUGCCAAAUUUCGUGCGUUUUCGCCCAUGGCAAGCGCCCCGAAAAUGGCCCAACAGCGGAGAAAAAUAAAGAAGAAGAAGACGGAAGAAGAAGAAGAAGAAGACGGAAGAAGAAUAAUAGUGAACUCUUACAAGAACAAUAGGGCCUUCGCCCAUAGGGCUCGGGCCCUAAUAAUAGUGAACUCUUACAAGAACAAUAGGGCCUUCGCCCAUAGGGCUCGGGCCCUAACAAGGAGGUGGAGGUAGCAAAAGCACUUAGUUUUUCAAAGGGCUCAAAACAAAGACGAGUGCACUUAGAAUACCUUCGAAACAAAGGUAACUUUGCACAUAAUGCCCAAGUUUUGAGAACAGGCACAGGAAAAUUGGUUGCACGCAAGCAGCCAAGAGAAAAUUCCCAAGCAAAAGACUGCAUGCACUGUGUAUACUGUCAAGGUUUGUUCAGAAAACAUGCAAUGUGGAGACAUGUGCAGAUCUGUAAUUUCAAACCUGACAAUGUUAAUCCCAAUGUUAAUCCCAAACCGGGAAAAACUAGAGUCCAAGCCCUCUGUGCCUUUGCAGAGCCCACACCUGGUGGACUUUCUGAAGAGCUAUGGAAACUUGUGAACAACAUGAACCAGGAUGCUGUUGCACAUGCAGUCAAAAGUGACUGGUGCAUCAUGGAGAUGGGAAAGCACCUCUACAACAAGCAUGGCUCUGACAUUGACAAGCACGAAUAUAUCCGGCAAAAACUGAGGGAGCUUGGUAGACUUCAAGUACAUGGUGGUGAGGUCACAAACAUGAAGACCAUCAGAGAAUCUCAUACCAGCGAACUUCAUGCAGACAGUCAAUGCAGUAAAAACACACAGCACAAGGCAGUAAAAGCAGCGCUAAAUCACUUCCCCUGAAACUUGGACACAGCCUCAAGAAGAUGUCUAUGCUCCUGGAGAGUGAUGCAAUCAUUAAAGGAGACAAAGAUGCUGCAGAAGCAGCCCGCUCAUUCCGAAACAUCUAUGAUGCAAAAUGGCACGAGCUUGUGUCAGCCACAUCUUUGAAGAGCCUCAGUGAGUCCAAAUGGAAUGCCCCUCAGCUGCUGCCUUUCACAGCAGACGUGCAGAAGUUGCACAAUUACCUGGAUGAGAAGAAAAAGCAGUACUAACAUGAUUUGUUAUCUGAGGAGUCAUCGCAGAACUGGGCCGGCUUGGCUAAGGUGACUCUCGCCCAGGUUAUCCUAUUCAACCGGCGUAGAGAAGGGGACGUGUCCAAAAUGUCCCUCUCUGCGUUUACAUCAAGAGACACAUCAGCACCUCACGAAGACGUCAACCUUGCUCUCUCUGAACUCGAGAAAAAGCUCCGUCAUCAUUUCACCAGGAUAGAAAUGAGAGGAAAGAGGUUGGAAAGUUGCUGUACUCCUAAGCCCAGCGAUGCAGGAAGCACUUGAUGUACUAUAUCAAAAGAGAAAGGAGUGUGGUGUCCUCAAAGAAAACACAUGUGUUUGCCAGACCAGGAGCGAUGUCGCACUACAGAGGGUCAGAUUGCAUCCGCCAGUUUGUCCAAUGCUGUCAUGUCAAGAAUCCUCUUUCACUCACCUCAACAAGACUGAGGAAGCACAUGGCUACCUUAUCUAAGGUACUAAACCUUCAGGAGACGGAGCUAGACCAGCUGGCGGAUUUCAUGGGCCAUGACAUCAGAGUGCAUCGGCAGUUUUAUCGGUUACCAGAGGGCACCCUUCAACUAGUAAAGAUCAGUAAAAUCUUGAUGGCCAUGGAGCAGGGACGCCUUGCGGAGUUCCAAGGCAAGAGUCUUGAGGAGAUCGACAUUGAUCCGAAUGAAACAAUCCAGUUGGACAAGCAUCCGGAUUCCGAAGAUGACCUUGCAGAGGUGGUGUGUGAACGGGACAUGGAAGCUUGCGAUUUGGAGUUGAAGGAGUAUCUCACAGCAGAGUGAGGAAGAAAUCAAGAGGACCACAGCUGAUCUCACACCAGUGUCAGCAACCAAUCACAAAAAAGGGAAGAAAUUUAAUAACUUUUGAGCAAUGUUUUAACACAAUGCUUUGAAACCUGUAACUUGUCUGUUUUUUUUUUUUUUUUAAAUCUGGGAACAAGAUCUAAGAUGAAGACCUCCAGAAGACUACAGCAGCUCACUCUCCAGUGAAGACAGCAACCCAGCAGAAGAACCAUUAUAGAUGAGCACAGAGCUCUAACCUGUACCUGCGUUUAUGAUGGGAGAUAUUGUGAACGCGGCGGCACGGUGGUGUAGUGGUUAGCGCUGUCGCCUCACAGCAAGAAGGUCCUGGGUUCGAACCCCGGGUCCGGCGAGGGCCUUUCUGUGUGGAGUUUGCAUGUUCUCCCCGUGUCCGCGUGGGUUUCCUCCGGGUGCUCCGGUUUCCCCCACAGUCCAAAGACAUGCAGGUUAGGUUAACUGGUGACUCUAAAUUGACCGUAGGUGUGAAUUUGAGUGUGAAUGGUUGUCUGUGUCUAUGUGUCAGCCCUGUGAUGACCUGGCGACUUGUCCAGGGUGUACCCCGCCUUUCACCCGUAGUCAGUUGGGAUAGGCUCCAGCUUGCCUGCGACCCUGUAGAACAGGAUAAAGCGGCUAGAGAUAAUGAGAUGAGAUGAGAUAUUGUGAACGCGCAUACACGUGGGUCUCUAUCACAUGAAGCCCGCAAAUUAAUCAGCCAUCUGAUUUGACAAUACACCUUUGAAAACAUGUCUACAGGAGGACUCUGAUUGGACAGUUGUGCACGUGCGUCUCCACCGCCAAUAUAAAUGGUGUGCGCGUGUGUACGUCCCCCUUUGAUCACAUCACAGGUUUUCUUUGAUUGUGAUCAGAGGUUUAUAAAGUACUUAUUCACAGCUGAGACUGAUCAUCGCCCUCAAGACUCCUCGCACUCAACUCAUCCUCAAGACUCCCGGAGCAGAUUUGUUCACUCACACACCAUCACAUUUUAUAUAUAAUAUAGCUGCAAGCAGCAAUGUGGGGGCCAAGCAGAAUAUGAGCAUAGUAUUAUGAAAAUCAAAAAUCCCUUGGAUAACUUGUGUGGCUUACUCCAAAGAUGUUAUGCAGUGAGUUUGGGAAAAAAAAUGGUCCAAAAUUGAGGGAGGAGUAGGAAUUUAAUUUAUUUUUACAAAAUUCAAAAUGGUGGAAAAUCUACCAGGUGGAAUAUGACGCCAUAGGGCGCGUUGGACUCGUUUUGACCGAAGGAUUCCAGCGAUACUAAGAUUUUGACGAUCAGACGUACGGUUCAAAAGUAACAAGCAGAAAUGUACUUCCAACUUUGACCUGUUGGUGGCGUUAGAGAGUUUGAGGUGGUGAGCUGAAAUUUGCUGACAAGAACCCUGAAGCCUAGAAUCAGUGCGCCAAAUUUCACAACCUCUUGUCAGACAGUUCGAUGGGUUGCCAUAGAAUUUCAUUGAUUUUAACAAAACUCAAAAUGGUGGAAAAUCCUCAAGGCAGAAUAUAUCAUAGGGUGCGAUGGAUUCGUCUUGACCCAAGGAUUACAGAGAUAGUGGAAUUUUGUUUCUACCCAAAAGGCAUCAUGAGAUAUGAGCCAAAAGACAUUUUCCUAUUUAUAGCGCCCCCUAGCGGCCAAUUUAUUCCAAUUUUUUUGUAGGCCUUUUUGGAGGGGUGGGGCAUAAUGCAACCAAGUUUCGUUAAGAUACCCCAAAGGGUGGCCGAGAUAUGAGCACACUUCCGUUUCAUGUCUGCGCAGCCAAUUUUGAUUGGCUGCCACGGCCAAACGCUUAUGAAAAUUCUAAACACCAGGAAAGUUUCUUGUGCAGCUUAGUCCAAAGUUGCCAUCUACCAAGUUUGGGAGAAAUUGGUCAAAAAUUGAGGGAGGAGAAGCAUUUUAAUUUGUUUUCACAAAAAUCAGAAUGGCGGAAAAUCUACCAGGUGGAAUAUGACUCCAUAGGGCGCGUUGGAUUCGUUUUGACCGAAGGAUUCCAGCGAUACAAAGAUUUUGACGAUCAGACAUACGGUUCAAAAGUAACAAGCAGAAAUGUACCUGCGACUUUGACCUGUUGGUGGCGUUGGAGUUUGAGGUGGCGAGUUGAAAUUUGCUGACAAGAACCUUGAGGAAGCCUAGAAUCAGUGUGCCAAAUUUCAAAACCUCUCGUCAGACGGUUCUAUGGGUUGCCAUAGAAUUUCUUGAAUUUUGUUAAAAUCAAUGGCGGAAAAUCCUCAAGGCAGAAUAUGACGUCAUAGGGUACGAUGGAUUCAUCUUGACCCAAGGAUUCCAGAGAUAGUGGAAUUUUGUUUCUACCCAAAACGCAUCAUGAGAUAUGAGCCAAAAGACUUUUUUCCUAGUUAUAGCGCCCCCUAGCGGCCAAUUUGUUCCAAAUUUUUGUGGGCCUUUUUGGAGGGGUGGGGCAUAACGCCACCAAGUUUCGUUAAGAUACGCCAAAGGGCGGCCGAGAUAUGAGCACACAUCCUGUUUCACGUCUGCGCAGCCAAUUUUGAUUGGCUGCCACGGCCAAACGCUUAGGAAAUUCUAAAAACCGGGUAAGUUUCUUGUGCAGCUUAGUCCAACGUUGUCAUGUACCAAGUUUGGGAGAAAUUGGUCAAAAAUUGAGGGAGAAGCAUUUUAAUUGAUUUUCACAAAAUUCAAAAUGGCAGGAAAACUAUCCGGGCGGAAAAUGACGUCAUAGGGUGCGUUGGAUGUGUCUUGGCCCAAGGACUCCAGGGAUACCAAGUUUUUGAAAAUCAGACCAACGGUUCAAAAGUUACAACCAGAAAUGUACCUGCGACUUUGACCUGUUGGUGGCGCUAGAGGCCUGAAAUUUGCUGAGAGGAAUGUUGAGACUGUCUAGAAUCAGUGUGCAAAAUUUCACAACUUUUUACCAGACGGUUCUAUGGGCUGCUAUAGACUUGCAGAGGUCUUGUGUGACUCCCAAAAUAGAAUAGCCUAAUGAAAUAUAGCUGCAAGCAGCAAUGCGGGGCCAAGCAAUGACCCAGCCUAAGUUGCCAUGGCAACAGAAAGAACUGACCAGGCAGACGGUCAUAGGCACGCACAGGAAGUGUUUACAAGCAGAAAUGUACCUCCAACCAGAUGGUUAGCGGCAUGCACGCAGUACCAAAUUGUGGGCCUUAUAUACAACCUUCUCCAAUGCACCCCAUUUAUACGAUCUUGAUAUGUAAAAACGGGUAUCUGACUCCCUGUGGUGGGCCCCCUCAGACGUGGGGCCCUGCUGAUUCAGUCAGCCACUUUACCAACGUGCUUUCACAUCCCUGUCUCUCUCUCUCUCUCUCUCUAUAUAUAUAUAUAUAUAUAUAUAUAUAUAUAUAUAUAUAUAUAUAUAUAUAUAUGUGUAAGAAGGGAAGGCAGAAUGGUAUAGUUGUAGAUCAUAAUUAAAACUAAAGUUGGUCAUAAACAUUGAUGGGUGAAGCGGGCAACAGACUUCGUGGUUUGUUCAUGUUCUUUUAUUGUUUGGUUAUGCUGUUUCCUGGUUGACUGUGUUCUGAAAAAGGCUUUACAUUUCAGUGUUCAGUUUCAAUGUUGUUUACUUUUUGCUAAUUUGAUUCAAAAAAACAAUGCUCUUGUAGAAUGGCUAUUAUUUGUCAUGUUUAUGUUAUUGUUGCUAAUCAAACAGCAGUUUAUCUGCAGACUGGUUUUUGGUGUUGUGUUGUAACAGGUGCAACCCGUGACUUAAGUUUUUCAAGGUCUGGGUGGAUACACAAGAGUACACUGUUUUGAAUACACUGUGUAUAAAGCUUAUGAUACCAUACACUAAGUAUAUUGCUGUGACUUUAACGCCAUGCUAAAGAAAGCAGAAGUUUUUAAAUUAACCUUUUUGUUGUACCUUUUUUUUUUUUAAAUAAAGUUAACCAGGUGGACUACCA